CCCUUAGCCACGGCCACUACAUCACUUCUCUCUCUGAGGUAAUAUUCUUUUCCUCACCACCUCCGUCGUCGAUUAUCUCCUCUUCUUCCGGUCAUUUGACGUUGCAUGCUGUCCUUGAGUGAGCUAAAUAUUUGAUCGACCCAUGGCUUCUUUUGUCAAGCCAGAGAAUGCUUUAAAACGAGCUGAAGAGCUGAUAAAUGUUGGCCAGAAGCAGGAUGCCUUGCAAGCUCUUCAUGAUCUUAUAACUUCAAAGAAAUAUAGAGCAUGGCAGAAACCUCUUGAAAGGAUUAUGUUUAAGUAUGUUGAGCUUUGUGUGGACAUGAGGAAAGGAAGGUUUGCAAAGGAUGGUUUGAUUCAGUACCGUAUUGUUUGCCAGCAAGUCAAUGUUACUUCUUUAGAGGAAGUAAUCAAGCACUUUAUGCAUCUUUCCACUGAGAAGGCAGAGCAGGCUCGUAGUCAAGCUCAAGCAUUAGAAGAAGCUCUUGAUGUUGAUGACUUGGAAGCCGAUAAAAGGCCAGAAGAUCUGAUGCUUAGUUAUGUCAGUGGGGAGAAAGGAAAGGACAGAUCUGACCGCGAACUUGUUACCCCUUGGUUUAAAUUUCUAUGGGAGACAUAUCGAACAGUUCUUGAGAUACUAAGGAAUAACUCAAAGUUGGAAGCACUUUAUGCGAUGACAGCUCAUCGUGCCUUCCAGUUUUGUAAGCUGUACAAAAGAACAACAGAAUUUCGCAGAUUAUGUGAAAUUAUCAGAAAUCAUCUUGCUAACCUCAACAAGUAUAGAGACCAAAGAGAUCGGCCUGACCUAUCUGCUCCAGAGAGCUUGCAGUUGUACCUUGACACAAGAUUUGAACAGCUGAAGGUUGCCACGGAGCUUGAACUCUGGCAGGAAGCUUUUCGUUCUGUGGAAGAUAUUCAUGGUUUGAUGUGUAUGGUGAAGAAAACACCCAAGCCAUCGUUGAUGGUGGUUUACUACGUCAAAUUAACAGAGAUCUUCUGGAUAUCGGAUAGUAAUCUUUAUCAUGCCUAUGCAUGGCUUAAACUUUUCUCCCUUCAGAAGAGUUUCAACAAAAAUCUAAGCCAGAAGGACCUACAGCUGAUAGCAUCAUCUGUUGUGUUAGCAGCUCUUGCAGUGCCCCCCUAUGACUCCAAGCAUGGUGCAUCACAUUUAGAACUGGAACAUGAGAAAGAGCGCAGUUUGAGGAUGGCUAAUCUCAUAGGGUUCAGUUUAGACUCCAAACUUGAAAGUAGAGAUGUGCUUUCGAGGGAAAAUCUUCUCUCUGAACUGGUGUCUAAAGGAGUCCUGAGCUGUGCAACUCAGGAAAUUAAAGAUCUUUAUCAUCUUUUGGAGCAUGAGUUCUUCCCUCUCGAUCUUGCAUUAAAAUUGCAACCGUUGUUCACAAAAAUAUCUAAGCUUGGAGGUAAGCUUUCAUCAGCCUCAUCUGUACCCGAAUUGCAAUUGUCUCAAUAUGUUCCAGCUCUUGAAAAACUUGCUACCCUGAGGCUACUUCAGCAGGUCUCCCAUGUGUACCAGACUAUGAAAAUUGAGAGUCUGUCGCAGAUGAUCCCAUUUUUUGAUUUUUCUGCCGUGGAGAAAAUAUUAGUUGACGCAGUUAAACAAAAUUUCAUCGCCAUGAAAGUCGAUCAUUCAAGGAACAUUGUCUUAUUUGGAAAUUUGGGUAUUGAAUCAGAAGGGCUUCGGGACCACCUGACUGUGCUUGCUGAGUCCCUAAACAAAGUAAGAGCCAUGAUCUACCCUCCUGUAAAGAAAAGAUCAAAAACAGGUGAAAUAUUGCCUGAUUUAGCAGAUAUUGUUGAUAAAGAGCACAAGAGGCUUCUUGCUCGGAAAUCAAUAAUUGAGAAAAGGAAGGAAGAGCAGGAACGGCAACUUUUGGAAAUGGAACGUGAGGAGGAAUCAAGAAGGUUAAAAUUACUAAAGAUAACUGAAGAGGCUGAGCAGAAGCGUCUUGCUGCAGAAUAUGAACAAAGGAAAAGUCAACGGCUUCGUAGGGAAAUGGAAGAGCGAGAACUUGAAGAAGCACAGGCAUUACUCCAGGAAGCUGAAAAGCGUGUUGGUAAAAAGAAGGGAAGCAGGAAGCCGGUUCUUGAUUCCGAAAAGUUGACUAAACAAACCUUAAUGCAAUUGGCCCUUACUGAACAAUUAAGGGAGAGGCAGGAAAUGGAAAAGAAAUUGCAGAAGCUUUCCAAAACUAUGGAUUAUCUAGAAAGAGCAAAAAGAGAAGAGGCAGCAACGUUAAUCGAAGCUGCAUUUCAGCAACGUUUGCUUGAAGAGAGGAUGAUUCAUGAACGUGAUCAGCAGCUGGAGGUCGAGUUAAGCAAGCAGCGCCAUGAAGGUGACCUGAAGGAGAAGAAUAGAUUGGCAAGAAUGUUGGAGAGCAAGAAAAUUUUCCAAGAAAGAGUUCUCAGUCUUCGCCAAGAGGAGUUCAACAAACGUAGAGCUGAGAGAGAAGAACAGAUCAGGCAAAUAAUUCAGUCUCGUAAAGCAGAAAGGGAGGCUAAGAGAAAGAAAAUCUUUUAUGUGAGGCGUGAAGAGGAGAGAAUCAGAAUAUUGCGUGAAGAGGAGGAAGCACGCAAGCGUGAAGAAGCCGAAAGGAGGAAAAGGGAGGAAGCUGAACGCAAGGCAAAAUUGGAUGAGAUUGCUGAGAAACAGAGGCAGAGAGAGCGCGAAUUGGAAGAAAAAGAAAGACUGCGGAAAGAAAUGCUCUUUGGUGGAGGCAAAUCAGGUGAUGCUUCUGCUAGGCCCGAUGUUUCUCCUGCUUCUCGACCUCAGGAGUCUAGGACUGCUCCUGCUGCUGCAGCUGCUGCGGCUGCAGCCCCGGCCGCAGGAAAAUAUGUGCCAAGGUUCCUACGUGAACGGACUGAGAGCUCCAGCCCUAAUGCACCACCUCCUGAAUCUGAUCGAUGGGGAAGCAGCAGGCCUGACAAUCGACCAUCUCAGCCAGGUAGCUGGCGCAAUGAUGAUCGUAGACCUGCUGCAUUUGGAAGUUCAAGGUCGUCGUGGUCGUCGUCUCGAGUUCCUUCUCGUGGUGGCUCGGAGCGCUGAUUGUGGUGGCAGUCUGGCAAACCGAAGGAAGAACAAUUUUGAGUUUGAUCGGAUGCUAAAUCAUUUCUCGGAAAAAGAAAAAAAAGAUGAGUUUUUGGUCCUAUUGAGAAAGCAAGGAGGAAGAGGAAGAGGGAAGAAGCAGGAGGGAAAAGGGUGUAAUAAUAUUUGUAGUUGUGUGUUCUAAUGUUUACGUGGCAGAAAAUUUAUUGUUGGAAGAGUUAUAUGAAGUACUUGAGGCGUUGGGCGUUGGAAGUUGUGUUGAAUAGCAUUUUUAUGGAGUCUAUUUAAAUCAAUUGCCCCCUUUUUGAGUUGAAACCA